GAUGAACGCUAGCGGCAGGCCUAAUACAUGCAAGUCGAACGGGAUCCAGAUCAAAGCUUGCUUUGGUUUGGUGAGAGUGGCGUACGGGUGCGUAACGCGUGAGCAACCUACCCUUGUCAGGGGGAUAGCCCGGCGAAAGUCGGAUUAAUACCGCAUGACAUCAUUGAGAGGCAUCUUUCGAUGAUCAAAGAUUUAUCGGACAAGGAUGGGCUCGCGUGACAUUAGCUAGUUGGUAAGGUAACGGCUUACCAAGGCUACGAUGUCUAGGGGCUCUGAGAGGAGAAUCCCCCACACUGGUACUGAGACACGGACCAGACUCCUACGGGAGGCAGCAGUAAGGAAUAUUGGUCAAUGGACGGAAGUCUGAACCAGCCAUGCCGCGUGCAGGAAGACGGCCCUAUGGGUUGUAAACUGCUUUUAUACGGGAACAAACGUCGGUACGUGUACCGGUCUGAGUGUACCGUAAGAAUAAGGAUCGGCUAACCCCGUG
rnacentral:rRNA from 1 species